ACUUGUUACAAUGCUUUUUAUUUAAUGCAAAUACAAGCGAUCAAUUGGUUCGUGAAUCUCCCAAGUCUGUCCUUAAAAACAGCAAAUCAGAAAAAGGGUGGAAAGUGUAAUUUGAAUUUUCUUGGAAGUGAUUUCUAGUAUUUGCAACUUGACUAUUUGAUUUGAAACUUGAUGUAUUUGAAUUUGUGGACACAGAAGCAUAAAGGCCAUAAAUAGGCUCCCUGGCUUCACAUUCCACAGGUCAGGAACGACCUUCUCCAGCGGACCAGACACAUCUUCCGGAAGCCCUCCUUCUACAGACUGGGCAGGAGGUGGGCACAGCUGUCUCCAAGGCAGCGUGAGACCCACCUGAGCUCCCCUGCUCCCGCUCGUGCCACCUGAGCCACGUGGCCCCCCCAGAUCUGGCAGCGAGUGUUCCUCUGAGGAGAACCCCACCGAGGGUAGAAUUUCCAUUCUCAGUUCCAAUCACAGUGAUAAUGUCAGCACUUGCUUUCUGAGGCAGAUGUUCCACCCAGAACUGGCAGCAUCACAUGCGCGACAAUCACAGCACACCGCAGGGAAGGGAUCUAGAUGUGGCCGCGCUCUUUGGGUGGGUGGCACAGAUGGUCAGGCCACCCUCCCAUGAUAGGUCUCAUUUGCCCCAGUGAGGAACAGAUUUAACGAAGGGCAGCCUUUGCGAAGGAUAGUGGACAAGGCUUCGUAUUUUUAAAUGUAGUGGAAGCUUAAGAAAACCCCAAUGCUCCUGGUCAGUUUGUUUUUUCUGGGCUAAGGGUCUACACAGCUAGGAGAGCACACGCUUCGUGACCGAGAACUGACUUUCCUAAAUGAAGAUUACCAGCAGUCCUGGAACCAGUCAGCUAACUGUAUGCUUACUAUUGCAGGAGCAAUGACGGGGGCCACUAAAAACUGCCCCUGGAAAGAGGUUUAAAUUUUCCAUUCACAAAGCAAAUCAAGCUUCCUAAUUAGCUACAACACAGCCAGAAAGCUCAGCGCCUACUGUCCUGCCAAAGCCCUGCCUCCACUGCCCUGCACGACGCGCACGUCUCCGCUGCAGGAACUGCGUGUCGGUUUUCUCCAGUUCACUCGUGUUCAAAGAACUCGUGGCAGGCAGUGGUAACCAUGGCGACAAAAGCCAUGAAUUCCUGGAAGUCACACUCGCCAUCUCCAUCGCUGUCCAGUGUCUCCAUGACUUUGUCCACGACCUCCUGCUCUUUGAUUUCCUGAGAGAUAAGAGAAGCUGUUGAGCUUGUUUCUAAAUGAAAUUUGGGGCCAUCGAAUGUGAUGAGAAGGUGUCUGGCCUUAAUAAUGUGUCUCAGAAACAACCUAAGAAUGCUAUGGAAAGACCAAAGACCAGAAAAGACUCUUGUGAUCAGGAGGCUGUUGGCUGGGAGACGUGUCUAGGGGUCUGAGCCUUCUCUUCCACUUUCCUGUAGGCCUGGAGGGACCUGGGCUACUUCCAAAAACUGAGUGGACUAGACAGGAUCUGAAAAAACGGCAGGUCGUUUGUGUUAAAACGCCCAAAACAGUCUAGAUCAGCCUGAGCACAUUAUAUGCAAAUGUUUUGAAAACAAUAAUGAACUGUUGGCCCCUGUACGUUCUCAUUGUUUGUGGACAGGGCAACUAAGCCUACUCGGGACUGACCGCGUCGUGAAGGCUUCCCGUGGACUUCCGAGUUUUGAAAGUGGUUUUUGGCUGAAAUGACUCGGGAACACGCCCUAACGGUAUUAACCUCGCAUGGGGUUUUGCCACUUGAGUUGCUUUCAGGUGUUUGGGGACAUUUCCCAACCUUCUGCCCCACGCGGAGCCGGGUGGUGAAACAGCCUCGGAGGGACGGACACGGGGCAGGAAGGCUGUACCCUGCACACUGAGGAGGAGCAUAAAGGCCUGCUGGUUCUGAAUCACCAGCCCAGGCAGCAGAGCCUGUGACGCAGAAUGUACAGCGGCUGCCUUGGGGCAAAACAAUGAGAGACCGAGGUUCCCGUGGGGGUUGGGGUGGGACAUCUGCUCAAAGAGGAACUUUAAAUACUUGAUAGAUUUGCCUUCAAACCAGCAGUGCUCAUGACACCUUGAUACACUCACCAGGAAUUACUCAUCUUUUUUUUUUUUUUUUUUCUUUUCAGGGCCACACCCUCAGCACAUGGAGGUCCCCAGAAAUAGCAAAAAAGACAAAAAAUAAAUAAAUAAAUAAUAAAAAUAAAAGCAAACUCACCUCCAGGAAGUGGGAAAGCUCGCUGUUGAUGAGCUCCUUGAGUUCGGAUUUCUUCAGCUUGUGCUUGUCCCCCUCCCUCCCAGAAUACUGAUGGAAGACGUCAAUCAGGGCCACCACGGCCUUCUCCAGCUCCGACAUCCCGGGUCCUCCUAGGGCAGAGAGGUCCAGGUGUCGCCCGUGCCGCCCUCAGCCCUGGCUCCCUUCCUUUCAGGCUUGGAGUUGUUUGAGUCUCCCGCCCCCUGGGCCCCCUCCCUCUCCCUUCUCCGUCCUCUGUUCUCCUGCCAUUGGGCUGCUGGCUGAAUUCGGCCAAUAGACAUUUCAGGCAAAAUACAGAGGCCGAGCAGUGAAGGGGAGACGCUGUUGGAAUUGGUCUGGAAGAGGUCGUUGAUCUGAACUAUGGAGUCCACAGCGUCCUAAUUCUCACAAUAAAGAUGAGAAAACAGUGGAAAAGUCCUAUUUCCACAGCAACAUACACAUAUUUCCAAGGAUGAGUUUGGCAAGAAAAGUGCAGGACCUUCCAAAAGAUACUAAGAUCACAAAAUGGAGGAACUUACUUUCCUUUGGAUGAAUAUAUAAAUGUGACUCAUUUUUAAAAAAACUUUUUUAAUACAAAUAUUGAUGGCAAUUUUUUUGAUAGGCAAGAAAUCGAUUUAUUAAGACAGGACACUCGGGCGAGAUGCAAGCGGGCCCGCAAGCAGUCUCUGCCGAUGGCAUUUUUUUGAUGGGUGAAGAACACGACCAAAAAACAGCUGUAAAAUUCAACUGGAAAAGUAAAUAUGGUGGCAUUGCCACAGAAUUUUCUGAAAAGGAUCAAGGAAAGUUACUUGACCUUCCAAAAACAAACCUGUAUUGCCGGCUGUCUGAUGAAAACAGGGCUGUGCAGUGAAGCUUGCCUCCCCAAAAUGUCUCUUUGGUACAGGAUUAUUUUGAGCCGAAAACAAACAAGCCCAGAAGACUCAGGAAGAAGCUCUGGCAUCCGCCGUAGCUGCCUGAAUCAGAAUCUAGAUGGAGGGCCAGUUUCGAGACGUGCUCACCAGAGAUGCAGCCGAGCAGGCCGCCGGGUGAGGACUCGCAGGCACCUGGCCCCCUCUGGCCCUCCUCUGCGCGGCAGCGCGAACAGUCGCUUUACCAAAACUUUGCUUCUCCAUCGCGGUCAGAACGGCCUUCCUCCCCCGCCUCGUCCAAAGCCAUGCUCCCCGGACGCCCUCCUUUGUCCUUAGCUGUUGAUGGUACUUGGGGCGAGGGUUUGGGCCGUUUUGAGGAGUUGCUGGGUUUUCCUGGGUCUUUCCCAGGUAUGCAUGUUACUAAACUUGGUUUGGGUUUUUCCUGCUAACCUGCCUCAUGUCUCUUUGAUUCUUGGGCCCUGGAGGAGGAAAAUGGCCUCCUCCGACCGCUCUGAGGCCAGCAAGUGGGGCCGGAGGCUGGGCCGCAGCCAGGCGCUUUGUAUUCACGGAGGCGCUGCCUCCAGCGACCAGGAUCGCUGCCGCUCUCUGCGCUCAUCCAGUAGGAAGCUUCUGUCGCCCCUCAUGUCCCUUGCACCAUGGCCUGCGACCUAAGGAAACAGCUGGUACCCUGGGAAUGAGGCAGUGUACAAAGGACCGCUUGUCAACUGUUUCACAAAGCUGAGCCACACAGCCAGAGAAGUUUACCGACGUUUGGCCUUGAGUUC
rnacentral:lncRNA from 1 species